CUUGGCAGAGAGAUGGAGAUCAGCCCUCAGCAGGGGUCCCCCAGCCACCAGGCUGAGCUGAGAGCAGGGAACACAAGUGCAGGGUAGCACAGGAGCAGACACAGGUCAGGCUGAGGGUGCUGAGACAUCACUCCAGAAUGCAGGUGAUGAUCGGAGCAGACACCAGGAGGAGCAGGACCAGGGUGGAGCGGAGGAUCCAGACCCAGAGCGUUAAUAUCAAGCCCUGGGACAGGGGAUAGAGCAGGGUGUGACACUCUGAGUACCUGUCCCAGACCUGCAGAAGAACUCUGUAAGCUUGAAAGUUUGUCUCUCACCAACAGAGGGAGAAGGGAACAGAGAAGCCGCAUGCUUUCUCUGAUCUGCCACGUGCUCCCCGAGGUUAGACAGAAGAAAAGCCACAGACCCUGUAAGAGACGGAGCCGUGUCUGCUACUGGCCUCACGACCGGGGAGACUUCGCUCCCUGACAGGAGAGGGAUGCUGCUCUCACAGCUGGUCUGUGACAGGCCUUAUGCGGCCUUAUGACUGAACAUUGUGGUUACUGAGAUAACAUCCAUUCCAACAUUGCAAAGUCCCUCUAACAUCUGCUAGACAAGAAUUGUCAAAAUCUGGCGACUAGGGAGGAUCUGUGCUGGUGAGAACUUCAACUGACGUCCACGGCCAAGUUCUCACUGACAGCUGUCUUUCUUUGUAACUCAGUGGAA